rnacentral:rRNA from 1 species
UUGAACGCUGGCGGCAUGCCUUACCCCUGCCAGUCGAACGGUAACAGGUCUUCGGAUGCUGACGAGUGGCGAACGGGUGAGUAAUACAUCGGAACGUGCCCAGACGUGGGGGAUAACGAGGCGAAAGCUUUGCUAAUACCGCAUACGAUCUAAGGAUGAAAGCAGGGGACCGCAAGGCCUUGCGCGUUUGGAGCGGCCGAUGGCAGAUUAGGUAGUUGGUGGGAUAAAAGCUUACCAAGCCGACGAUCUGUAGCUGGUCUGAGAGGACGACCAGCCACACUGGGACUGAGACACGGCCCAGACUCCUACGGGAGGCAGCAGUGGGGAAUUUUGGACAAUGGGCGAAAGCCUGAUCCAGCAAUGCCGCGUGCAGGAUGAAGGCCUUCGGGUUGUAAACUGCUUUUGUACGGAACGAAAAGGCUCUGGCUAAUACCUGGGGCACAUGACGGUACCGUAAGAAUAAGCACCGGCUAACUACGUG